GUGUGUGUGGCUACGUUAGCACUAGCUUCCACAGCCCAUCCAGCCUCAAAUUAAUACACGACGAUUCAUUAGUGGUGUGAAGUCCUUAUCAAGGUCUGAAAAGUCACUAAAGCAAGCAACAAAGCAACUUGCUUCGGAACUGCUGUAGCAGAAAUGCAAAUUUGAUUGGCUGGUAGCAUCACAUGGGGCGCUGUUCCGGCUAGAAGCAGAGACUGGCUGUGCCUUGGGUCCAAAGCUUUCCAGGUUCUCCAGGACGUGUGGGAAACCUGACUGUGUGCCUGCUCAGCCACGCUGAGAAUAACAUUGCUCAUAAAUGAAACUUUUACACUUAAUUAUGUCUCCCAAGUGGUAUCGCACCAAAGAAAAGGAAAACCAUCACCCUGGAAGUGAAAAUGAACAUCAUAAAAAAGCACAGAGAGAAGAGAAACGCCCUACGAUUGACUCUUUUAUGAUAUCAAAAUGACUGCUGUGAAAAGUGAAUUCAAACAACAAACUGUAAAUAGGCAACCCAAAAUUGCAAAACAACAAACACUUAACUCUACACGACUUCCCAUGCAGAAAGUCGCUUUUAUGUGCACCGCAGGAUAAAACCAAAAAACAUACUUGUGCACAUGCACAUGCACACACAUGCGGUUUCAAGCCACCUGCCGGACAACACAACGCAAGAGUGGCUUUCUGGUCAUGUGAUAUAACCGCCUGACACAUACUUUAUUCUGUAAUGUCAUCCAGAUGGUGUGUGUGUGUGUAUGGGAACCAGAGGGAAAAAGGCAAGAGGCUCUGUCAUUACGCCCACACUGGACACCAAAACAAAGUGAUGUCAUUCAGUGUGUGUUUUUGUGUGGCCCAGUCAUGUCGUGCUAUAUGUGUGUGUGUGUGUUUUAACACAACACUCCUACACCUGCUCCUGCUGCACAUCACUCUCAGUCACCAUGCAGCCCAUGCAGACCUGCCAGUGUUCGUACAACACCACCGUUAUACCCACAAUGUUUCGAUAAGCAGAUUUCAGUUUACCUUCGGUUAGCUCUGCUACCCUUUACU